UACGCUGGCGGUAGCUACCAUGGCAGUAGAACGGUAACGGACCGCUCGGAUCCCUAUCGGGGUGACCUUGGUGUGACGAGUGGCAGGACGGGUGAGUAACACGUACGAAUCUGCCCAACAGAGGGGGACAACCCGGUAGAAAUCCGGGCUAAUACCGCAUAUGCCCUACGGGGGAAAGCGGGGGAUCUACGGACCUCGUGCUGUUGGAGGAGCCCUGCGUCGGAUUUAGCUUGUUGGUGAGGUAACGGGUCAGCAAUGGACGAGGAUCCGUAAGCUUGCCUGAGAGGACGAACCAGCCCGCUGGGGACUGAGAACCGGGCCAGACUCCCUACGGGGACGGCAGGAGUGG
rnacentral:rRNA from 1 species